rnacentral:rRNA from 1 species
GAUGAACGCUGGCGGCGUGCCUAAUACAUGCAAGUCGAGCGAACAGACCCGGCUCUUGCUCCUCUCACGUUAGCGGCGCACGGGUGUGUAACACGUGGAUAACCUACCUAUCAGACUGGGAUAAUUUCGGGAAACCGGCUCUAAUACCGGAUAAUAUAUUGCUCCGCAUGGUUCAAUAGUGAGAGACGGCUUUUCUGUCUCUUCUAGCUGCAUCCGCGCCGCAUUAGCUAGUUGGUAAGGUAACGGCUUACGACGGCAACGAUGCGUGGCCGACGUGAGAGGGUGAUCGGCGACACGGGAGCGGAGACGCGGUCCAGAGGCCUAAGGGAGGCAGCAGUAGGGAAUCGUACGCAAUGGGCGAAAGCAUGACGGAGCAACGGGGAGUGAGUGAUGAAGGUGUUCGGAGCGUAAAACUCGGUUAUUAGGGAAGAACAAAUGUGUAAGGAAAUAUGGACGUCUUGACGGUAACUAAUAAAGAAGCAACGGCUAACUACGUG